rnacentral:tmRNA from 1 species
GGGGGCGUACAGGAUUCGACGGGAUAGCAGUCGUGCUGCAGAGGCAUGCCGGGUUCCGAGCUCCCGUUAAACGAUCGGACAACAAUAACUGCCAACAACGAUAUGCAGUUUGCUUACGCUGCCUAGGUACUAGGCAGCCGCCUCGGCGUUCGGGCUCGCACGUCCGCCAGAGGCGCCAUUCCGCGGGCUGGAUCGCAGGGCUCCCGCCUGAAGUCUUGCGGUUGAGAUCAACCAGGCUGGGCCGCUGGUGGCUUGUCCAUUCUUAGCCAGCGGUCGAGAUUCUCGAAUGGACUAAGCAUGUAGGCUCUGUUCCGCGGCCUGUCUCGGACGCGGGUUCGAUUCCCGCCGCCUCCACCA